CCCCGGUCCAAUAUGGCGACCUCCACGGGUCGCUGGCUUCUCCUCCGGCUUGCACUAUUCGGCUUCCUCUGGGAAGCGUCCGGCGGCCUCGACUCGGGGUGAGUGCAGCUCCCGCGGCCAGCCUGGUUCGGGGGGUCCCCCCUGUCCUCCGAGCUCACGAGGACAGCCCCGUGAGCUCACGGCCGCCCGUCCCCGCAGGGCCUCCCGCGACGACGACUUGCUACUGCCCUAUCCACGCGCGCGCGCGCGCCUCCCCCGAGACUGCACACGGGUGCGCGCCGGCAGCCGCGAGCACGAGAGUUGGCCUCCGCCUCCCGCGACCCCCGGCGCCGGCGGUCUGGCCGUGCGCACCUUCGUGUCGCACUUCAGGGACCGCGCGGUGGCCGGCCACCUGACGCGGGCCGUUGAGCCCCUGCGCACCUUCUCGGUGCUGGAGCCCGGUGGGCCCGGCGGCUGCGCGGCGAGACGACGCGCCACCGUGGAGGAGACGGCGCGGGCGGCCGACUGCCGUGUCGCUCAGAACGGCGGCUUCUUCCGCAUGAACUCGGGCGAGUGCCUGGGGAACGUGGUGAGCGACGAGCGGCGGGUGAGCAGCUCCGGGGGGCUGCAGAACGCGCAGUUCGGGAUCCGCCGCGACGGGACCCUGGUCACCGGCAUCAACCUGUGGGAAAUGGCGGAGUUCCUGCUGAAACAGGACGUGGUCAACGCCAUCAACCUGGAUGGGGGUGGCUCUGCCACCUUUGUGCUCAACGGGACCUUGGCCAGUUACCCGUCAGAUCACUGCCAGGACAACAUGUGGCGCUGUCCCCGCCAAGUGUCCACCGUGGUGUGUGUGCACGAACCCCGCUGCCAGCCGCCUGACUGCCACGGCCACGGGACCUGCGUGGACGGGCACUGCCAAUGCACCGGGCACUUCUGGCGGGGUCCCGGCUGUGAUGAGCUGGACUGUGGCCCCUCUAACUGCAGCCAGCACGGACUGUGCACGGAGACCGGCUGCCGCUGUGAUGCCGGAUGGACCGGGUCCAACUGCAGUGAAGAGUGUCCCCUUGGCUGGCAUGGGCCGGGCUGCCAGAGGCCUUGUAAGUGUGAGCACCAUUGUCCCUGCGACCCCAAGACUGGCAACUGCAGCGUCUCCGGAGGUACCUACCCCUCCAAGGGGAGGGGGUAUGGGCAGACGCUCCUGCUCCGGCCCCUUCAGCCUGUCUCUGGUAUGUUACAGUAAAGCAGUGUCUCCAGCCACCUGAAGCCACCCUGAGGGCGGGCGAACUCUCCUUUUUCACCAGGAGAUGAAUGGGGAGCCUCUGGCCGCAGAGAAGGAGCAGCCAGGGGGCGCCCACAACCCCUUCAAGGACUGAAGCCUCAAGCUGCCCGGGGUGGCACGUCGCGAAAGCUUGUUUCCCCACGAUCUGGCUUCUGCAGGGGAAAUUUCAAGGCCACUGGCAUGGACCAUCUGGGUGUCCUCAGCCCCUGUGGGGCAGCCAAGUUCCUGAUAGCACUUGUGCCUCAGCCCCUCACCUGGCCACCUGCCAGGGCACCUGCAACCCUAGCAAUACCAUGCUCGCUGGAGAGGCUCAGCCGCCUGCUUCCCGCCUGCCUGUGUCUGCUGCCGAGAAGCCCGUGCCCCCGGGAGGGCUGCCGCACUGCCAAAGAGUCUCCCUCCUCCUGGGGAAGGGGCUGCCAACGAACCAGACUCAGUGACCACAUCAUGACAGAACAGCACAUCCUGGCCAGCACCCCUGGCUGGAGUGGGUUAAAGGGACGAGUCUGCCUUCCUGGCUGUGACACAGGACCCCUUUUCUACAGACCUCAUCACUGGAUUUGCCAACUAGAAUUCGAUUUCCUGUCAUAGGAAGCUCCUUGGAAGAAGGGAUGUGGGGAUGAAAUCAUGUUUACAGACCUGUUUUGUCAUCCUGCUGCCAAGAA
rnacentral:sRNA from 1 species